rnacentral:rRNA from 1 species
AUUGAACGCUGGCGGAAUGCUUUACACAUGCAAGUCGAACGGCAGCACGGACUUCGGUCUGGUGGCGAGUGGCGAACGGGUGAGUAAUGUAUCGGAACGUGCCCAGUCGUGGGUGAUAACGUAGUGAAAAUUACGCUAAUACCGCAUACGAUCUAUGGAUGAAAGCGGGGGAUCGCAAGACCUCGCGCGAUUGGAGCGGCCGAUAUCAGAUCGGGUAGUUGGUGGGGUAAAGGCCCACCAAGCCAACGAUCUGUAGCUGGUCUGAGAGGACGACCAGACACACUUGAACUGAGACACGGUCGAGACUCCUGCGGGAGGCAGCAGUGGGGAAUUUUGGACAAUGGGCGAAAGCCUGAUUCAGCCAUUCCGCGUGCAGGAUGAGGGCCCUCGGGUUGUAAACUGCUUUUGUACAGAACGAAAAGGUUUCUACUAAUACUAGGAGCUCAUGACGGUACUGUAAGAAUAAGCACCGGCUAACUACGUGCCAGCCGCAGCCGUAA